rnacentral:rRNA from 1 species
UGGGGAAUAUUGCACAAUGGAGGGAACUCUGAUGCAGCGACGCCGCGUGAACGAAGAAGGCUUUCGAGUCGUAAAGUUCUUUUAUAUGGGAAGAUAAUGACGGUACCAUAAGAAAAAGCCCCGGCUAACUACGUGCCAGCAGCCGCGGUAAUACGUAGGGGGCUAGCGUUGUCCGGAAUCACUGGGCGUAAAGGGUUCGCAGGCGGAAAUGCAAGUCAGGUGUAAAAGGCAGUAGCUUAACUACUGUAAGCAUUUGAAACUGCAUAUCUUGAGAAGAGUAGAGGUAAGUGGAAUUUUUAGGGUAGCGGUGAAAUGCGUAGAUAUUAAAAAGAAUACCGGUGGCGAGGGCGACUUACUGGGCUCAUUCUGACGCUGAGGAACGAAAGCGUGGGUAGCAAACAGG